rnacentral:lncRNA from 1 species
AAGAGGCAGUAGCAAAAUUCAGUCUGAGAACGGAGGCUGAGACCCUGGGGAGCUGAUAGCGUGGAUCCUGAUGUCCCAGUCCUGGUCCCAGGAGAUGAGAGUCCCUGCCCUGUAGCCAGGCAGAGACAGGACUCAUUCCUUCCUCUUCUGCCUUUUGUUCCAUGCAGGCCACCGUGACUGAUGUCCAUGUACACUAGGGAGCAGGCAGCUCUCCAGAGACCCAGAAGCACCCUCACACACAGACCCACGAGUAACCGAGGGUCCAGUUUAGCCCACGGCACAGUCAGUUUGACGCACAGAAUUAACCAUCACAUCAGAUAGGUGAUUUUGGAGCCUACGACAUCACCACUCUCCUCCUGUUAGCUUUGCCACGGGCUUCCAUUUGCAUUUCUACCCCUGGACAGUGAGUUUACCUCAUGGCAGGAGAGAGAUGAGCCUCUGCAUUCCAACGGAAGGCAUUCUGUAGCUUGUAUCUUCAUACUCUGUCUACCUCAGUACACCGUUUCAUUUUUUUCUUUGCGAUGGGGUCUUGCCGUAUUGCCCAGGCUGUCCUCAAAACUCCUAGGGUCCAGUGAUCCUUCUGCCUCAGCCUCCCAAGUAACUGUGACUGCUGUACCACCAGGCCUUGCUUACUGUAUUGAGAUUAUUCUUACUGAUAGUAAUAAUUAGUAUAUAUGGUACUUGAAUAAAAUUGUUAGCUAACUCAUAUAGUGCCAGGUAUACCAGGCAAUUUUGUAAGUACUUUACAUAUAUUUACUCAUUCAGUUUCAAAGCAAUCUUCAGAAGUAGCUACUAAUCUUUGUUUUUGUGUUUUAGGAAGUAUUUGAACCCAGGGGCACUCAAGAACUAAGUUACAUCCCAGCCCUUUUAAAAUUUUUUUUCAUUUUGCCACCCUCCUGCUUCAGGGUCCAAGUAUCUGGGAUUACAAGCAGGCACUACCACACUUGGUAGUAUCUAUUACUAUUAGCCCUGUUUUAUAGAGGGGGAAACUGAGGACAGGGCAGUUGAGUGACUUGCUCAAGACUAUACAUCUGGAAAGUGUUGAAGCCUAGAAUCUCUUCUGAGAGGCCGCC